UGGGGAAUAUUGCACAAUGGGCGCAAGCCUGAUGCAGCGACGCCGCGUGAGGGAUGACGGCCUUCGGGUUGUAAACCUCUGUUAGCAGGGAGGAAGAGAGAUUGACGGUACCUGCAGAGAAAGCGCCGGCUAACUACGUGCCAGCAGCCGCGGUAAUACGUAGGGCGCGAGCGUUGUCCGGAAUUAUUGGGCGUAAAGAGCUUGUAGGCGGUUUGUCGCGUCUGCUGUGAAAGGCCGGGGCUUAACUCCGUGUAUUGCAGUGGGUACGGGCAGACUAGAGUGCAGUAGGGGAGACUGGAAUUCCUGGUGUAGCGGUGGAAUGCGCAGAUAUCAGGAGGAACACCGAUGGCGAAGGCAGGUCUCUGGGCUGUAACUGACGCUGAGAAGCGAAAGCAUGGGGAGCGAACAGGAUUAGAUACCCUGGUAGUCCAUGCCGUAAACGUUGGGCACUAGGUGUGGGGGACAUUCCACGUUUUCCGCGCCGUAGCUAACGCAUUAAGUGCCCCGCCUGGGGAGUACGGCCGCAAGGCUA
rnacentral:rRNA from 1 species